AAUUGAAAGCAACAAGAACCGUUUCAAAAACGACGAAAGAGAAAUUCUAUAUUUCCCUUACAACAGAAUUUCAUUUCGCAUCGCGACGCCGAACUGAAAGGACAGAAAAAUGCACGUUCUCGAAAACAACUUGAACUCUUUGGAAUAAAUUCAUCAACACAAAUUCAAUAGAAAAAUUUUCCAUCAACAAGCUUCUAUCAAAACACAAUAAAGUAAAACCUGUUGAUAAUAACAGUCAAUUAAAAACGGAAUAAGUUUUCUGAACGGGAAAACAAUAUUUUCAUUAAAAAUUGUAUAUUGGCAGACCGUUUUCGCUGCGACUAUAUAAAGUACCGAACGAUAAAGAGUGAGA